rnacentral:rRNA from 1 species
UACGUAGGGGGCAAGCGUUGUCCGGAGUUAUUGGGCGUAAAGAGCGUGUAGGCGGUCCGGUAAGUCGGCUGUGAAAGUCCAGGGCUCAACCCUGGGAUGCCGGUCGAUACUGCCGGACUAGAGUUCGGAAGAGGCGAGUGGAAUUCCCGGUGUAGCGGUGAAAUGCGCAGAUAUCGGGAGGAACACCUAUGGCGAAGGCAGCUCGCUGGGACGUUACUGACGCUGAGACGCGAAAGCGUGGGGAGCAAACAGG